rnacentral:misc_RNA from 1 species
GAUGAAGAACGCAGUGAAAUGCGAUAAGUAGUGUGAAUUGCAGAAUUCAGUGAAUCAUCGAAUCUUUGAACGCACAUUGCGCCCUUUGGUAUUCCUUAGGGCAUGCCUGUUCGAGCGUCAUUUGAAACCUCAAGCUCAGCUUGGUGUUGGGUGUCUGUCCCCGCCUCACCGCGGGGACUCGCCUCAAAAUCAUUGGCGGCCGGUACGUUGGCUUCGAGCGCAGCAGAAACGCGAACUCGAGGCCCGGCGGAUCGGCGACCAGAAGUCACUUCUUCACAGUUUGACCUCGGAUCAGGUAGGGAUACCCGCUGAACUUAAGCAUAUCAAUAAGCGGAGGA